rnacentral:rRNA from 2 species
GAGCGGCGAACGGGUGAGUAACACGUGGGUGAUCUGCCCUGUACUUCGGGAUAAGCCUGGGAAACUGGGUCUAAUACCGGAUAUGACCUCUGGGUGCAUGCCUGGUGGUGGAAAGAUUUAUCGGUACAGGAUGGGCCCGCGGCCUAUCAGCUUGUUGGUGGGGUAAUGGCCUACCAAGGCGACGACGGGUAGCCGGCCUGAGAGGGCGACCGGCCACACUGGGACUGAGACACGGCCCAGACUCCUACGGGAGGCAGCAGUGGGGAAUAUUGCACAAUGGGCGAAAGCCUGAUGCAGCGACGCCGCGUGAGGGAUGACGGCCUUCGGGUUGUAAACCUCUUUCGACAGGGACGAAGCGCAAGUGACGGUACCUGUAGAAGAAGCACCGGCCAACUACGUGCCAGCAGCCGCGGUAAUACGUAGGGUGCGAGCGUUGUCCGGAAUUACUGGGCGUAAAGAGCUUGUAGGCGGUUUGUCGCGUCGUCCGUGAAAACUUGGGGCUCAACCCCAAGCUUGCGGGCGAUACGGGCAGACUUGAGUACUGCAGGGGAGACUGGAAUUCCU